rnacentral:rRNA from 1 species
GAAUACGUCCCGGCUACACGCGACUACAAUGGUUGGUACAAUGGGUAUCUACCCCGAAAGGGGACGGGAAUCUCCUAAAACCAAUCUUAGUUCGGAUUGAGGGCUGCAACUCGCCCUCAUGAAGCUGGAAUCCGUAGUAAUCGCGUUUCAACAGAACGCGGUGAAUACGUCCCUGCUCCUU